rnacentral:rRNA from 1 species
CUUUGCUGACGAGCGGCGGACGGGUGAGUAAUGCUUGGGAACAUGCCUUGAGGUGGGGGACAACAGUUGGAAACGACUGCUAAUACCGCAUAAUGUCUACGGACCAAAGGGGGCUUCGGCUCUCGCCUUUAGAUUGGCCCAAGUGGGAUUAGCUAGUUGGUGAGGUAAUGGCUCACCAAGGCAACGAUCCCUAGCUGGUUUGAGAGGAUGAUCAGCCACACUGGGACUGAGACACGGCCCAGACUCCUACGGGAGGCAGCAGUGGGGAAUAUUGCACAAUGGGCGCAAGCCUGAUGCAGCCAUGCCGCGUGUGUGAAGAAGGCCUUCGGGUUGUAAAGCACUUUCAGUCAGGAGGAAAGGUUAGUAGUUAAUACCUGCUAGCUGUGACGUUACUGACAGAAGAAGCACCGGCUAACUCCGUGCCAGCAGCCGCGGUAAUACGGAGGGUGCGAGCGUUAAUCGGAAUUACUGGGCGUAAAGCGUACGCAGGCGGUUUGUUAAGCGAGAUGUGAAAGCCCCGGGCUCAACCUGGGAACUGCAUUUCGAACUGGCAAACUAGAGUGUGAUAGAGGGUGGUAGAAUUUCAGGUGUAGCGGUGAAAUGCGUAGAGAUCUGAAGGAAUACCGAUGGC